UACGUAGGGCGCAAGCGUUAUCCGGAAUUAUUGGGCGUAAAGAGCUCGUAGGCGGUUUGUCGCGUCUGCCGUGAAAGUCCGGGGCUCAACUCCGGAUCUGCGGUGGGUACGGGCAGACUAGAGUGAUGUAGGGGAGACUGGAAUUCCUGGUGUAGCGGUGAAAUGCGCAGAUAUCAGGAGGAACACCGGUGGCGAAGGCGGGUCUCUGGGACGUUACUGACGCUGAGGAGCGAAAGCAUGGGGAGCGAACAGG
rnacentral:rRNA from 1 species